UUACGAUGAUGAAAAUUCGGUUCCUUACAUUCGCAGUUUCCACGGUAGGAGUACGCCUUACGAACCCAUCGUUAGUACUUUUCGGUGACCGCCUCUUUACGAGACCUUCCUAGGAUGUCUGAGUAA
rnacentral:snoRNA from 1 species